AGAGCAUAAUGUGUAGAACUCCUCCAAAUGUCUACGUGGGCAUUCACAUGCAAAACCAUGAAACCUAGGCAGCAAAUGUAUCAGACCAGUGUUGAAAACACAACGAGUAUUCUCCUUAUCAAGUGGAAACAGCUCUCUAGGAGCACUCUCAUGAGAUGGAGGAGGAACCGUUCUGUUCUCAACAUAGAAAUCAGCAGAGUAUACACCACAAGCAAUAUCAGAGUCAAAUGCAAAAGUAGAGUCAUAGACACAGGCAGAAUAAGCAUUACUCACAUCCCCAAAAUAGGUAGACAUGUAAAAGGGGGAAAAGAAGAAUGCAAUGAAAAUAUGCAACUAAAGCUACCUAAAUGCAACACACAAUGACGAACACACAAAACAGAACAUCACACUCAAAACACAAGACAAGACACAACACACACUAACACAACAAAAGACCCAAAAUCGAACUGUUGGUCCCCAGCAACGACGCCAAAAUUUGAUGGGUGUCGCGGCCCAUACAAAUUUAAUUGCAUAUUAGAAAUGCAGUAUAGCUAGGAAUGACUCCUAGAUCGUCUCUCAAGGACCAAACUAUGGUUUGAGUCUCAGGUCAAACACGAAGUGGGGGGGGGGGUUGUGAAAAGUUUUGAAUGCGGACGAAUUAAAUCAAAGGACGGAUGCAACAGAAAUGUAAAAAUAGAAUUGCAAAAAAAAAAUCACAUACAGAAUAAAAAUGGUUGGUCAUUAACUUAAUUACAAUGUUUCCAAUCACAGAUCAACAAAAUAAAGUUGUGACUUAAACCUCUAAGCCAACAAAGUUAACCAACUAAGCGAAGGUUAACCCUGUUUUCAUAAAAGCGAACUAAGCGAACGCAGUGUUAAUAUCAAAUGUAAAUUACACCAUUCAGUUACAUCAACUAAGCAAAGAUGUAACACCAACUGGGCAACUAAGCGUAUACCCAAUUGCAAGUGCAAAAAUAGAAUUCACAUUAACCAAGUCAGAGUGCAUAGACAAUCACAAUUCAAGAAUCUCAAGGAAACAGUGCAAUAUCGUCAAUGACCAACCAAACUAAAUUAAGCUACCAUGGAAAUUAAAUUGAGUCGACUAAACAAAUUAGACAACAUCUAAACAUCAAACAGUGCUACCAAUUAAUUAGCAAACACAGUUGAAAAUAAUUAAAUGCAAAACUAACUUAAACACAUAAAAACAACCCAACCUACUAAGCAAUUUAAUUGAAAACAAAAGAAACCAACAAACCUAAUUUAAUCCUAGCAAAUUACUUUGACUAAAUGACAAUUAACAAUUAAUUUUAAAAGUCCAAAUGGCCAAGAAAAGGCACAUGGCCGUGACCCACACUCCACCAAGUCCACUUCAAUUUUUACUCUUCAAGAAACCAUCCAAUCUGUUGACUUUUGUCCCCAUGUGCACCAUUUCUCAAAAGGAAUUAAAAUAUACUUAAAGAAACCCAUUUGAAACCGUGCCCUCACUUCUCCAUGAAGCAAAAAAAUGAAUUCACACACCAAAGCACACAAUUUACGUCAGCAAGAAAGAAGUGGCAACAAAAAGUGCUUCAAACCAAUGUGCAAAUGGAAUAUACUUUGGAUGGUCCAAUCAAUGUGCCAUGUAAGCAAACUUAAAGCAAGGAAAACAAACUACAAAACAUCCAUUCUUUUGAGCUACUCUCCGUAGAAUGCAAACUAAAGGCAAGACCAAAAAGGAAACCUUCCUUUAGCCAAAACAAGCAUCCUUUUUUGUUGGUCCAAAAAGGGUAAAAAUUAAAUGAAGCUUCUCUCCUCCUUUCCAACUCACCAUACGGUUUUUGUUCACCAACACACCUUCAUAUUCUUUCUUCCUUUUCUCAAUACCGAGAAUGAGCUCUAGAAACCAAGCUUGCACAUGUAAAAUCAUACAAACACAUCAAACACAAAAUCUAACUCCUUCAACCCAAGUUCUAACUCUCUACUCUUCAAAUUUCUUUGAAAAAACUAAAAUGAUAAUUAAGCUACCAAUUCAAGCUCUUUCCAGCCACAAUAAUAACCCCAAAAUCUGGUUCCAUCCUCGAGUCCCCGGCAACAACGCCAAAAACUUGUUAACGGAUUGGAAAGUAAUAAUAAAUGGUAAGUCCAAGUAUCGUUUUCCCAAGAGACUCGAAAGGCCUUAUCGUUCCUGUGAAUUAAGAUCGUAAGACUUCAAAAUAAAAAUUAAUUAAUUGGAUGUGUGAAUAAAGUAUGAACAUGCAAAAGAGAUUGAUUCAAUUGACGAGAAGAAAACAAUGGAUGAAUGAAGUUGUUGGGGN
rnacentral:lncRNA from 1 species